AACAAUCAUGUUCAGAUAGGCCUACAGAUGAACAUAACGUAGGUAAGGUAUUCCCCUUACUUGUAAGGUCUGGAGCUGUCUCAAUUUUACUAGCAAGCUUGGUGUACAAAAUUUAAUGUGAACAUUGGCUUAUGGAUGAUUCUGCCUAAUAUAUGACAUCAAAGGUACAUCAGCUUUAGGACUUUAUUUAUGUGGAUAUUUGUGGUGUGACCAAUACUAGAGGAUAAAUGCCAUCCCCUGCCACCAGAGACAGCAGAUUUAGGCAUAGUUUCCCUUAGCUACCAUCUCCCACUGUUCUGUGUCAUUGAUUAAAAUUACAUAACUUAA